rnacentral:lncRNA from 1 species
GGUAGUGGGAGUCCAGAUCUGGUUUUGGGAGGCUUUAGGAGGGGGUGGGGGACUAAAAUUUUUGAGGCUCCUAAAAGAUUUUAGUCACUUUUUAGGAGGAAUGUUUGGCACUUUAGUCACAUUUUAGUCACUUUUUAGGAGCUAAAGUUUUAGGAGGGCGGAAACAAACAGGCUCUAAGAUUGUUUUCCUUGGUUAUUGUGCUAAGAGGAAAUACAAUGGAGGUAGUAGGUUCUACAAUCCACAUGGCAGUAACUGGUAGGUAACUAGUUGGUCUUCCA